rnacentral:rRNA from 1 species
UGUAUAAGAGACCGACUGCGAAGGGGGGACGGAGAAGGCUAUGUUAGCCGGGCGACGGUUGUCCCGGUUUAAGCAUGUAGGCUGGUUGUCCAGGCAAAUCCGGAUAAUCAAGGCUGAGGUGUGAUGACGAGGCACUACGGUGCUGAAGUAACAAAUGCCCUGCUUCCAGGAAAAGCCUCUAAGCAUCAGGUAACAUUAAAUCGUACCCCAAACCGACACAGGUGGUCAGGUAGAGAAUACCAA